GGCCUUUGAAUCCAUCAAUGGAGAUUAUGGAGACAUGAGAAGGGCAGAUGACUAAGGGAAACUGAAAGUGAAGAAAAUAACCUUCAAUUGUGCGGAGAAUAGAUUUCCUGAGAGAAGAUUUGAUGAAAAAUCCUUACUCAAGAGGAUGGUUUGAUGUUCCAAGUACAGAAAAUCAUUGUUCUAGAGAGGCAGAAAGGUCUGAAGUACAUCUGUAUUUCAUUUAUCUAAUGGUUGUGAAACAGAGAAGUAAUGGUGAACUCCUAUCAUCAACUCAGUGAGCAACAGAUAUUCACAUUGUGUUGAUCUUUUCAAAGAUGCAGAGAGUUCAAGAUCUCAGGUGUCCAUUUCUUUGCUACCACAUUUCAUGGCCAACUCUAUAAGACUAUGAAGAUCUUUAUGCCAACACAAAUUUCAUUGUCUUAGAGAGGAGAAAGCAUGCUUCUGAUUCUAACUCUCUGGAUAUGGAGAAGAAAGUGCUGCCACUUAAAUUUAAGCCA